GCUGGGGAAUCUGGAACCAAUUCAGGAUUUUUCUCCGACUUGGUCCCUUUCAACCAGCUU
rnacentral:pre_miRNA from 1 species